rnacentral:rRNA from 1 species
CGGAACACGUACACAACCUUCCUUUAAGUGGGGAAUAGCCCAGGGAAACUUGGAUUAAUACCCCGUAAUAUUAUGAAGUGGCAUCACUUUAUAAUUAUAGCUCCGGCGCUUGAAGAUGGGUGUGCGGCUGAUUAGGUAGUUGGCGGGGUAACGGCCCACCAAGCCUUCGAUCAGUAGCUGGUCUGAGAGGAUGAUCAGCCACACUGGGACUGAGACACGGCCCAG